CAACGCGACCCCAGGUCAGGCGGGGCUACC
rnacentral:rRNA from 1 species